CUCCACUUUUCACUCACGGAGGAGAAAGUGUUGAAGUGUAGAGUUUAAAACUGUUUGGAGGUUGUCAUUGCUGAGUGUUGGGUGUGUAAAUAUCCAUGUUUCGACACGGGACUCGUGUUUGGACCGCUGUUGCUGCGUUUCUCUCAGAUGUUGCAUAACGCCCGUUUACCUGGAGUUUUUGACCUGCACUGCACAUUGCUAGGAAUCGUGGCUGAGAUGAACAGCAGGAUUUCAGUCAUUGUUUCUAGUAGUGGGCGCUGCAGAUAUUCAGCUUCUUGCCAUGAAUAUCUGGGAGUAUCUGGAGUCUUAUCUACAAUCCUAAUGAGAAAAAGGUCUAAUACAAUGCAUGUAUAGCACAUAUGUGUAUAUAUAUUGGUUGCCGCUGGACGGCAGUAGAAUGCAAGGAAAGUGACAAUGGGCAACUGAUCUGCAUGCACCAUGCAAGUAACUGAAAAUCUUUGGCAUGUUGGUGAACCUGCCCAGGAGAGGCAGUUGUUAGGAAUUUAGACUUCCUCAUUCAUUUGUAAUUGAGGCCUUUAUCCAGAAAAUAACCACAUCACACAAUUAGAUCAUGCAUUUGAUCAUUUAUAGCAAUUUGUUUUAAAGCUUCUCUUCACUUUUUGUUGUCUUAGAUUAAGUUGUUUAAGUGUCAGUGACAAAUAAAGAUGAUGAAUGUU